UCACGUUGAGCCCCUUAGGGCUGCAGUUCGUUCCACGCCAGGCAACGGGGGCGUGGG
ncrna:unclassified sequences Glutamine-II riboswitch (downstream peptide RNA)